GAUGAACGCUGGCGGCGUGCCUAAUACAUGCAAGUCGAGCGAACGGACGAGAAGCUUGCUUCUCUGAUGUUAGCGGCGGACGGGUGAGUAACACGUGGAUAACCUACCUAUAAGACUGGGAUAACUUCGGGAAACCGGAGCUAAUACCGGAUGAUAUUUUGAACCGCAUGGUUCAAAAGUGAAAGAAGGUCUUGCUGUCACUUAUAGAUGGACCCGCGCUGCAUUAGCUAGUUGGUAAGGUAACGGCUUACCAAGGCAACGAUGCAUAGCCGACCUGAGAGGGUGAUCGGCCACACUGGAACUGAGACACGGUCCAGACUCCUACGGGAGGCAGCAGUAGGGAAUCUUCCGCAAUGGGCGAAAGCCUGACGGAGCAACGCCGCGUGAGUGAUGAAGGUCUUCGGAUCGUAAAACUCUGUUAUUAGGGAAGAACAUAUGUGUAAGUAACUGUGCACAUCUUGACGGUACCUAAUCAGAAAGCCACGGCUAACUACGUG
rnacentral:rRNA from 1 species